UACGUAGGGGCCUAGCGUUGUCCGGAUUUAUUGGGCGUAAAGAGCGCGCAGGCGGCUUGGCAAGUCGGGUGUGAAAUCCCGGGGCUCAACCCCGUGACUGCAUCCGAUACUGUCAGGCUAGAGGUAGGUAGGGGAGAUCGGAAUUCCUGGUGUAGCGGUGAAAUGCGCAGAUAUCAGGAGGAACACCGGUGGCGAAGGCGGAUCUCUGGGCCGUAACUGACGCUGGAGGAGCGAAAGCGUGGGGAGCGAACAGG
rnacentral:rRNA from 1 species